AAUCAUGAAAUCAAAUUGCAAAUGAUUUUCAGUUGUCAAAUUCUGGUUUAAAUUUUAAGGUUUACGUGGCUAAAAUUUAGAUUUGAAUAAGAUGAAUUGACAAGUCUCGCUGGUUUAUAUUUGACAUUGUUUAUAAGACGAUGUGCCAUUUAUUCAUGAAACAAGUAUCUACCGGUAAUUUAUUUAACUUCGUCCAUCAUUGUAAAACCCACAAAGAUAUCUAAGCAACAUUAACGCCACAGUUUAGUUUACGGAGAGGUUGUCAAACAUUGACUAAGGUUCUGGUUAGUUAUGUUUUUAAUUGAGAAGACAAAGUAAUAGAUAAUACAGGGACUGGUUUGGGACCAGGCGGCACGGUGGCCGACUGGUUAGAGCGUCAGCCUCACAGUUCUGAGGUGCGGGGUUCAAUCCCCGUCCCCGCCUGUGUGGAGUUUGCAUGUUCUCCCCGUGCCUGCGUGGGUUUUCUCCGGGCACUCCGGUUUCCUCCCACAUCCCAAAAACAUGCAUUAAUUGGAGACUCUAAAUUGCCCGUAGGCAUGACUGUGAGUGCGAAUGGGUGUUUGUUUCUAUGUGCCCUGCGAUUGGCUGGCAACCAGUUCAGGGUGUACCCCGCCUCCUGCCCGAUGACAGCUGGGAUAGGCUCCAGCACGCCCGCGACCCUAGUGAGGAGAAGCGGCUCAGAAAAUGGAUGGAUGGAUGGGUUUGGGACCAUUGAGAAAAACUACGUUGAUUGCAAAUGUGUUAGUAAGGCUAACUAACACAAGUACAGAUACUCAGUGCAGUCGCUAAUGUGCAAAAAUAUGUUGUAUGCUGCGCAAGAUAAUAUGAUUUAUGACUAGGGUUGGGCAUCGUUUGAGCGAUUCCGGUUCCUUAGUUUUGAUUCCGGUUCCAAAUGAUUCUCGAUUCUGAUUCUUUUAGGGGGCUGGGUUAAAAAAAUUUGCAUGGUUUAAAUAAAGUGUGUCCAAAUUAUUAGCAUCUAUUUUAUUAGCAGCCCGCAGCAUGGACUAAAAUGAACAUUUAACUCGAACCAGUAUUAAUAUCAAACCUUUGAACUAAAAUGCAAUGUGUUUGGAACUAACCCAAUUUACUUAAUUAAUGUUUCAGCUAAAAGUUAAAUAUAGCAUUGUUAAAAUAGUUAUUUUAACUGUUGUAACUAUUUUAUUUUAUUGUUUCACUCACCCAGUUGACUGAGAGUUGACUUCACUGACAGCGUUGUUAAAAUAGUAAUUUAACAAUGUUAUAUAGCUGCCCCUGUAUUCUGUUUCAUCACAUCAAAUGGAUUGUAUGUGCAAGUUUUAACUUGACUUCUUGUUUUAAACUUGUAGCCUUUUAUUUUGAAGGGUACGCACCGGAGCUCAGCAUUUUGGGACGAAAAGUAUCUUCACACGGGACCGGUGAUUUUUAUUUUUUUAAUGGAUGGAACCAAAUGCUCUAAAACGCGGAUUCCUUUCCCUACCCACCCAUGAGACACAAGAGGCUGCUGAGCCACCAACACUUUACGAUUGCUGAUUGCUACCAUGUGACCAAAGCUGAGAUAAAUAACAGGCGGACUGCCGCUAAACAGAAGGUAAGACAAACAUUUUGGCUGCUUCGCUUAAAGGCAUGAAAUUCGGAGGCUGUUUGAAAUUUUCUCAAAGCCACAACUACCCGGACUGAAUUCAUGCUGUUGAAAAGGGUCUGGAUCUGUAAUAUAGGCUGUUUUUUUAACGGUAUUGCCCUCAAAACAUUUGGAUUUCGUCUUGCCACCUUAUUCCAUAACCCUGACAUAUUGCAUGAAGAACAGGAAAGAUAUUUGUCACGUGUGACAUACAAAUUCCUUCAGCUCCUUUAAAUGGUCAGCAUCACAGGUGAAAGUAUGUGAAGCAUACGGGAGAUUGUUGUCAUUUAGCAUGCAGUCAGUACUUUCUGUAGCCCUCUUCACAGCCUUGCUGACCAGUCUUCCUUCAAGGCAUAUUACCUCUUUCACUGCCAGCCUUCACAGUUAACGUGGAUAUUUGACUUCUAAAGCCAUCAAUGGCAGUGAAUGUGUUUUAAGAAUAAAGGAGAUCGUUGUCACAUGUAGGACUCUGCCAGAAAUGAAAAUAUGGAAGACUGUUGCCCCUUGUUGGAUAGAGCCAGUACUUGCUGUGAGGCCUCUUUGUAGCCUCCUGACAAGUUUUCUUCCCAGGCAUAUUAAGACAACAGGAGAUUGUUGCCCCUUGUAGGAGUCAAAUGCAGAACUACUCACCACAAUGACAACCACUGGGUGGAGAAGCGUUUGAUUAGUCCCCUCCACAGCCGCAAACGUGGCCUCCACUUUAUCCAAAUCAGAGUCAUUCAU